rnacentral:lncRNA from 1 species
GCCACCAAUGUGUAUCUCAGUCUCAACACUUCAACUUCAUGUAUAAAUAUGGGAUAAUAUUUUGUACCAGUAUGAAUUUCUACUGCCCCCUAACACUGUGUAGUGACUUCAUUGUAUAUUAACUUCUUUUCUACAGAUCUCUGAGCUACCAGGUAAAUCAAUGAAAAAAGUCAAAUUCUGUUAGGAAUCAUCCUAUAUGAUGUUGGUAGCCUGUGAAAAAUGAAUGUCUUUUUUCUUAUACAAACUAUUAACAAGACUUGUUUUCACAAUUCCUUUUUACAUUUCUGUGCAUAUAAUACCUGUAUAUUAUACUCAUAUUCUAAAGUGACCAGAAAGUGUUAUUUAAUAGAAACUGCAUAGCUUUUUUUAUGUCUCUAUGGACCCUUUGACUCUGGAGACUCUUACAAUAAAUUAGCAGUAUAAUAGGCUAUUGUUUUCAAUUAUGAAUAAAAAUGUACAUUGAAGUAAAAGAUGACUACUGUUUUUAAAAAGAUUUUUCCCCAUUCCAAUCUGUAUUCAUUAUAAUAAAAUUAGGAAAGGC